rnacentral:misc_RNA from 1 species
GAUGAAGAACGCAGCGAAAUGCGAUAAGUAGUGUGAAUUGCAGAAUUCAGUGAAUCAUCGAAUCUUUGAACGCACAUUGCGCCCUUUGGUAUUCCUUAUGGCAUGCCUGUUCGAGCGUCAUUUAAACCUUCAAGCUCAGCUUGGUGUUGGGUGACUGUCCGCUUCACCGCGGACUCGCCUCAAAAUUAUUGGCGGCCGGUACAUUGGCUUCGAGCGCAGCAGAAACGCGAACUCGGGCCCGUCGUAUUGGCUCCCAGUAGCUAUCUUCACAAUUUUGACCUCGGAUCAGGUAGGGAUACCCGCUGAACUUAAGCAUAUCAAUAAGCGGAGGA